UGCAGUUGUGCAAAGGACUGAAAACUGAAAACUCAGUUUUUUUCUUUGGGACUGGAAGCAAAAAGGGAGGAGCAACUGAGUGCAGUGGGGAUUUGCUAAAGAAUUGAUUGAACAUGUUAGUCCCAGUGUUCGCAGUUUUUUUUUUUUUUGUCUCUGUAUUCUCCUUUACAGACUUCCUCCUUUCUGACUUUAGUAAUAAACAGCUCUUGACUCUCGCUGCCCUUUAGGUGGUCCUCCUUGGAGUACGAGACUAACAGGCAUUCACUACAAUGACUUCAUUUCCUAGUAAUUUCGCCAAAGAGCAGAACAAAAACACAGUUUCAGAUUGCUUCUUGGAAACCAGAAGACACCAGAAGUGCUUUGCCUCUCAGCUUGGGUACAGAGAAAUGGACUCUUGCUUGCAGAAAGAGAGAGGCAGAGACAUCACAGUUCCCGAUUCCCUCAGCCACUACUCUGUUUGCAGUGAUGGCAUCUUUGUUUCCAACACCUCCCAUUUCUGGUAGCAGCUUGGGGGAUUUAUUCAGCAAAUAUUUAGUUUGAUGUCCCCAGCAUGGAGUGAGUCAGCGCCCAUGAUAAACGAUGAAGUGAUGUGUAGGGGACAGUAAGCCACACCUGUAGCCAGCCUCGACAUCAGCCUGUGGGUGUGUAGGAGCAUGAGGGGAUCCAGGUGCAGCUAAAGUUUGCAGUCACCGACUGUGAGGGACAUGAAACUGAAUCCUGCUCACUCAGCAACCACGGGAUGACGAGCCCCAAGGUAAAGGAGAUGGUACUGACUGUUUUUUGUGCUUUGUGGAAUAUUGUGAUGUGGGUGUCCUUCAAAGAAGCCAAACAAGUUGUUCUGUGAGCUCCACCUGCCUGCACCAUGACCCCCAAUCCUCCCACGCCACACACAAGUGUGCAUCCAUGCACCCAGUGUGAAUGGGUAAAUACCAUAAAUUCAAAUGGGCAUAGAACAAAUAUUGACAUAAUUUAACACAGAAAGAAGAAAAAUAAUAGACGCUUGUUUUUUCUGGGUCUUCACUAGAUUUAUUAUCAGGCUUUGCUAAGUUUGAUGCCUUCAUACUGGAAAACCAUUUAUAAGUUGACAAAGCUCAGAGCAGUGCUGUUUAUUCCUGGGAAAUAAAGGCAGAAAAUUAUUAAAUUAUUCA
rnacentral:lncRNA from 1 species